GCCUUCGUGGUGUAAUGGUCAGCACACUGAGCCUGUAUUUCAGAGGUCCGCGGUUCGAUCCCCGGCGAAGGCA
rfam:Stegodyphus mimosarum contig20878, whole genome shotgun sequence.